rnacentral:ncRNA from 1 species
ACUUCCCGACAGCAAACGCAAUGAGAGUUGCGCACGCAAAGCCACAGGCCCUCAGCCGGCGCACGCGCGCCGGGUCGGGCAGCUGGGUUGCAUCC